AGACGGUGUCUGAUUUUGCACGAGGACCAAAACUUCAUGGAAAGCUAUCAAAGCUUGAUAGCUAUCCUGGGAUAGACUACAAUAUCUCAUAGUGCAAGUUGUGAUAUUAAAUGCGCAUACCGGAUGAGUACAAAUGAGGAACAAGUUUUCAGUUGACCUAUUCAAGAGCAAUGGGAAUGAAUCUAAAGGGCCACGCAGGAGCUUUUCCUGUGGGAUUAUAUUCCUAUAAGAUCCCUCUUAAAUUUUCUGUAUUCGAAACAAACUACUGGAGCAAGGCUGACAGCAGAGGAAUCUCGAUGUGGUUUGAUCUUGAGCCGUGCAUCACUGGCGCGUGACAGAAGGAGGCUGGUAGGAGUAAUAGUAUUUUUGCGCAGAACCCUGCUUCUGCCCCUGCUGCAGUAAACUACUGAGAUGAAACAGUAGCCGCGAGGCGCUGUCACAUCGUAGCGUGAGUAGGAAUAUAAGAUGGAAUCCUAGUAGUUUUGCUUCUUCUUUUUUACCGUCCAUCUUUUACCGGUCCUAAUCAGUGAAAAUCAUGGUUGUGGAGGAAAUAUCUACUGAUUUGUAAAA